rnacentral:lncRNA from 1 species
UUCAUAUAUCAGGAUCUCUACAUUUCAAACGUUUUUGUUUCUCCCCUUUACUUUUAUCCCUGCUAUUAUGUUACUGUUUCUUACUACAUUUCCCAUAAUUCCCCACUAUGUUCAUUUCACCCAGCCAGCUCUUUUUUUCAACCUCCCUAGAAUCUGACAGGCCACAGAAAUAUCUGAUUUCAAAGAGAUGCUCGCAUUCUAUACUGAUGCCAUGUAGGAGUGUAAAUGCCCAAUGUCACACUGCUGAGUGGAGAAAGCAAUCCCUUUUAUGUGUUACAAGGCAGAGAAAUACAGACAGUUAAAUGAAAGCCAUCCACCCCACUCCCCCAGAGAAAUAACAUGAAUGCUCUAACUUGAAGGGAAUGGCAAGGUAUGUACUGAUGUGAUGGGCAAACAUAAAAUCUACUCUAAAAUUGGGCUUUAAUUUGAUGCUUAGUAAGUAGAAUCAUG